rnacentral:rRNA from 1 species
UACAGAGGUCUCAAGCGUUGUUCGGAUUCAUUGGGCGUAAAGGGUGUGUAGGUGGUGCGUUAAGUCGGGUGUGAAAUUUCGGAGCUUAACUCCGAAACUGCAUUCGAUACUGGCGUGCUUGAGGACUGGAGAGGAGACUGGAAUUCAUGGUGUAGCAGUGAAAUGCGUAGAGAUCAGGAGGAAGACCAGUGGCGAAGGCGGGUCUCUGGACAGUUCCUGACGCUGAGACACGAAAGCCAGGGGAGCAAACGGG